GGGAGGGGAACAAGAUAUGAAUCAAGCUAAAAUCCCAGGCAAUAAGAUUUCUUGUUUCUAAGGCCUUGUUUUCCCCUGUGUUUGAUAAGAAAGUUCAUUUAUUACCCUGUUUUUAACCUAGGUAAUAAUUGAGCAUUCAGUCAUUGUUAGACUCACCGUUCUGCCAAAAUUUAUUAAAAUGAAGCAAUUAACUAUUGUCUUAAAUGGAGUUUAGAGGGGUGAAGGUACACAGCUAAAAUCAAGAGGAGUUUGGCUUCUACCUGCAGGGAGGUUGUGAUCAAACACCCAAGAAAUGCCUGAGAUCAUCUAUUCCAAACCCCUGGCAAUGAGCAGCAACAUCUUCAACUGGAUUGGGUUUUUCAGAUCUUCAUCCAAUUUAAGAUAAAAUGAAAUCCAACAAUUUCUGAGUAAA